AGCGAACGCUGGCGGCAGGCCUAACACAUGCAAGUCGAACGGAUCCUUCGGGAUUAGUGGCGGACGGGUGAGUAACACGUGGGAACGUGCCCUUUGGUUCGGAACAACUCAGGGAAACUUGAGCUAAUACCGGAUGUGCCCUUCGGGGGAAAGAUUUAUCGCCAUUGGAGCGGCCCGCGUCUGAUUAGCUAGUUGGUGAGGUAACGGCCCACCAAGGCGACGAUCAGUAGCUGGUCUGAGAGGAUGAUCAGCCACACUGGGACUGAGACACGGCCCAGACUCCUACGGGAGGCAGCAGUGGGGAAUCUUGCGCAAUGGGCGAAAGCCUGACGCAGCCAUGCCGCGUGAAUGAUGAAGGUCUUAAGAUUGUAAAAUUCUUUCAGCGGGGACGAUAAUGACGGUACCCGCAGAAGAAGCUCCGGCUAACUUCGUG
rnacentral:rRNA from 1 species